CCAUAGCAGCCAAUCUGGAAGUAAGGUACGGUGGCGGGAGAGUGCAAAUCUUCGGUUCCAUGGCUAAGCAUUGCAAGUAUACUUGCAAUACUGCUAGUGAAACCCUAGAAUGGAUUCAUGCAAUUAUCAAAUUCAUAACACCUUAUCGAUACUUCUUAGAUGCUCAUGUUGUCAACUUUUUCAAGGAUAGACUAUGGGAAUCUGUUGAUAAAGAAUGGAUGGAUUGUUUACGGAAGGAGCCGGUUGAAAAUCUUCUCCAAAUUCCUUCUGGUGUGGUUCAGGUAGUUGAUCACUGGCCUGACUCACUUAAGGGGUUCAUCCUCACUCUGAGGUCUCUUUCUCUUUCACGUGAACAGGCAGAUUUUCAGGAAUUUUCAGGAAUGCACACAGCUUCACUAAGUAAUGUUUUAGCUCAAGGCAUGAAUCAUAAGAAAAAACAUGAAGUGGAAGCCCUUUCUGCCCUGGUCAGUUUAGUUGCAAAGCAAGUUGGAGCGCGGACAGUUGUGGAUGUUGGCGCUGGACAGGGUUAUCUUGCACAAGUGCUUGCUUUUGACUACCAGCUUUCUGUAAUUGCGGUUGAUGCUUGUUCACAUCAUGGUAAGAUUACUGAUGCACGUGCAGAGCGAAUCAGGAAACACUAUGCAGCUAAGAUGCGUAAAAAUUGCUCCGAACACAGAGAGUUUAGUGUGCCAAAGACAGUUACAUGCCGAGUGCUGUCUUCUGACACGCUGAAGGCCUUGAGUAACUCCCCAGUAGAGAAUGAUCACGCUGGGAAUCAAUAUUUGAGCCAAAAUUGUUCAGGCUUUCAUAGUGAUUCUACAUUGGUUAUUGCUGGACUUCAUGCCUGUGGAGACCUCUCGGUGACAAUGUUGAGGACAUUCUUGGAUUGUGACAAAGUUGAGGCGGUGAUUAGCGUUGGUUGCUGUUAUAACUUGCUUUCUGAGGAAACCAUCGACAUAGCAGUAUCUUGUUGUGGUUUUCCUGUAAGCCAAGGUGUUAAAUCUGCUGGAGUAAUGCUCGGCAAAAGUGCUCGUGAUCUAGCUUGUCAGAGUGCUCAUAGAUGGAGAGGCUUGGGUGGGCACACAGGGCUUCACAACUUUGAGUUGCAUGAAUACCGUGCUGCCUUCCAGAUGGUUCUCUUCAGACAUUAUCCAAAUAUAUUGCUACAAAGUCCGACAAUAGGGCGUCAAGGGAAAGCCUUACGACGCCAACAAAAUCAGAGGAUCCUGGAGUCUAAUUUACAUCACGGGAGCCCUUCAGAGUCUGGUGAACCACAGGGGAGUGUGGAAUUUCCUCAUGAACACUCUUCUAUUCAGAGUUCUAAAAGCAGCGAGUCUAGAGCUGCUGAGGGAUACUCACUAUUUGUAAAAUUUUGUGAAUCUGGGUUAGAUCGCUUACAUCUCCCUCGUUUGGAGAAUACAGAUUACAGUACAGUCUGGAGGGAGUCUAAAUCAUAUGCUUAAGGAUAUGCCAACUAUUCUCUUUUCACUUUGCUCUUUCAGUAAGGAUAUGCCAACUAGAUUCUCAGUAUCUCCAGGAAGGUCUUUGUUCUUUCGUCCAUGCUCAACCAUUUCUUUUGGGGUAGUAAGCAAAUUGAUGUUUGCUGACUGCAUAUUGUUAGAUGCAACUGAUAUAUAUCAUGUAAUUUGAUUAAGAGCCCGUUUGGAUUGGCUUAUAAGUUGCUUAUAAGCUGUUUUCAGCUUUUUUGAGUGUUUGGCUGGCCAGCUUAAAGUCAUUUUGUGCUUAAAAUAAGCUCAAAAAAAUAAUUGGGCCCGUUUGACUGAGCUUAUCUAAAGCAGCUUAUAAGCUGAAGCUGAAAACAACUUAUAAGCCAAAAAAAAUAAGUUAGGCUACCCCAACUUAUUUUUUUUAGCUUAUAAGCUGUUUGCAGCUUAUAAGCUGCUUAAAAUAAGCCCAUCCAAACAACUUAUAAGCUGCUUAAAAUAAGCCCAUCCAAACAGGCUCUAAGCUGGCUCUCUUUCCUUUACCUUUUAAGACAAAUUAUAGCUAACAGUCUAUUACUUGUCUCUGUUUCCUCGGGUUUUUGGUUGGCCAAGAUUUAUAAGUUAUUUUAAUGAAGAGGUGUUCAAUUUGCUUAAUUUGAAAGUCAUUGGUUUGCCCAAAUGAUACUGCCUCUUGAGGAUCAUAGUUGGAUGGUUUAUGUGGUCAAGAUAUUUCUUCUCAGCAUCAAUUAGUGAUUCUAAAAUGUCAAAAAUAUCUUGAUUAAGUUGAAGUUCACAACAUUCUGGCCUCAUUGUUUAUUAGUUGAUUUAAUAGCUUUCUCUUUGGAAUGGAGGUCUGUUCGUGUACAGUAUGUAUGGCAUCAUAGUUCAUUCAGAUUCUCAGGAGUUGCACUUGCCAGUCCCAACUGGUUGACAAAGUUACAUAAAAUCCGGUGUUUAUGAUCUCUACUCAAGUAUCCAGAUAGCUGGUUAGCUGAUAUAUGCAGUCUAUGGUGGUUUCGUUUUCGAAAUAGUAUAGAGAUGAGUUAAUAGGGCCUUAUUGGUCUCUUCGUGCUGCCCUGGGUCCCGUUUUGGAAACUCUUAUUCUGCUUGACCGAUUGGUACUCCUCCAGGAGUAUGGCAAUGAUCUGGAAGCAAGCCUUUUACCUAUUUU